UACGAAGGGGGGCUAGCGUUGCUCGGAAUCACUGGGCGUAAAGCGCACGUAGGCGGAUUGCUAAGUCAGGGGUGAAAUCCUGGAGCUCAACUCCAGAACUGCCUUUGAUACUGGCGACCUUGAGUCCGGGAGAGGUGAGUGGAACUGCGAGUGUAGAGGUGAAAUUCGUAGAUAUUCGCAAGAACACCAGUGGCGAAGGCGGCUCACUGGCCCGGUACUGACGGCUGAGGCGCGAAAGCCAGGGGAGCGGAACGGG
rnacentral:rRNA from 1 species